CCGGGAUGCCACCCCAAAGGCGGGAGAAGAGGCACGAGCUCAAAUCUGAAAGCGGGCUCCUCCGGGGUCCGCAUUGUAAUUUGCAGAGGAUGCUUCGGGUGCAGCCCCCGUGUAAGUGCCCUGGAACGGGCCGUCAUAGAGGGUGAGAAUCCCGUAUGGGGCGGGGUGUCUGCGUCCGUGUGAAGCUCCUUCGACGAGUCGAGUUGUCUGGGAAUGCAGCUCUAAAUGGGUGGUAAAUUUCAUCUAAAGCUAAAUACUGGCCGGAGACCGAUAGCGCACAAGUAGAGUGAUCGAAAGAUGAAAAGCACUUUGAAAAGAGAGUUAAACAGCACGUGAAAUUGUUGAAAGGGAAGCGCUUGCAACCAGACUCGCUCGCGGGGUUCAGCCGGGCUUCGGCCCGGUGUACUUCCCCGCGGGCGGGCCAGCGUCGGUUUGGGCGGCCGGUCAAAGGCCUCCGGAAUGUAGCGCCCUUCGGGGCGCCUUAUAGCCGGGGGUGCAAUGCGGCCAGCCUGGACCGAGGAACGCGCUUCGGCACGGACGCUGGCAUAAUGGUUGUAAACGACCCGUCUUGAAACACGGACCAAGGAGUCUAACAUCUACGCGAGUGUUCGGGUGUCAAACCCGUACGCGCAGUGAAAGCGAACGGAGGUGGGAGCCCCCUCGCGGGGCGCACCAUCGACCGAUCCUGAUGUCUUCGGAUGGAUUUGAGUACGAGCGUAGCUGUGGGGACCCGAAAGAUGGUGAACUAUGCCUGAAUAGGGCGAAGCCAGAGGAAUACUCUGGUGGAGGCUCGCAGCGGUUCUGACGUGCAAAUCGAUCGUACAAAU
rnacentral:rRNA from 1 species